rnacentral:lncRNA from 1 species
UUUUUCUUUUUUUUUUUUUUCUUUUUAUGGCUGCACCUGUGGCACAUGGAAGUUCCUGGGCUAGGGGUCAAAUGGGAGCUGCAGCUGGCAGCCUACACCACAGCUAUGGCAAGACCAGAUCCGAGCCACAUUUGCAACCUGUGCUGCAGCUUGCAGCAAUCCAGAAGCUUAACCCAUUGAACGAGGCCAGGGAUGGAACCCCCAUCCUCACAGACAUUAGGUCAGGUUCUUAAACCACUGAGCCACAGCAGGAGCUCCUGAAUUACACUCUUAACUAAGUCUUCUGAGCAGAAUGGGAGCCCCUUCUAAGAAGUCUGGAUUCUCCAUGGACUGAUGGCUGCCUCUCUGCAUUCCUGGUUUGAACUUGCAAGAGUCCUCUUCACUCUGUCCUGAGCUGGGAUUUUGACACUGGGCUCACUGCCUCAUCUUUGAAACAAUCUUGCCUGUUACCUGCAGCCUUGGGAGGACUCAAUGGAUGUGGCAGGUCUGAGGGGGUGAACUUCACUUUGAUCUUGGGAGAGGGCACGUGUCUGUGCAUCUGGAAUAUUGCCAGCACCCAGCAAUCUCCUUGACAAAGCAUCACCUAGCCAUCCUGCCAAGAUAACAAUGUUUCUAUAUUCUAAACAAGCUUGUUUCUCUAUUCAAAAUAUUUCACGUGGUUUCAUAAAAGAAAAAAAAAUAAAAGCAGCUGAUCUCAUCUGAAGGCAGAGAGGACUAAAUUAUGUCAUAUUGUGUUAGAUCAUCCCUGGGGCUGAUUAACUGAUUGUCCCCAUGGUGGCCUAAGAAGUCAGUUGUGCUUGCAGCUGUGCUUAACAUAGAAACACUCCAGGAAUGCAUUCUAAUACCUUUGAAUGGUUUGCUGUUUCCACAGGUUUUACAUCAUCUGAACUUCUCUAAGCCCUACGAGACAUGUUAGAUUAUGACUGUUUAAGAAAAGAGGAAACUAAGGCUCAGGAUCAAGUAAUGCACCUCAGGGCACAUCCCUGUUCUUCCUGCCCUCAAACUGCUGGCCUCUCUCAAGACUGGUAAACCUCCCUUUGACCCAAUGUCAACCUACAGUUCUGGAAACCAAGCACUCAGUGCUGCUAAACUACCCUCCUAAGAGCUUGCAAUGCCCUUGGUUCAAUGCCAUGACACUGCAUCAUCUCCAUGCACAGUGUGAGGGACAUGAUGGGCAAGGCCAUCUCCAAGUUUUCAUAAACUUCCCACCUUCUCUGGCUUAAGUAUCCUGGCAGAGAACACUGCCACACCCAUGCCUUCUCCUUUUUGUCCUCAUCCAACACUGCUGGAAACUGGACAAGUGGUCCUCAGAAAUCCUUCUGUGUCCAAGCUAUUGCCACUGGUAUUGGCCUUUAAGACAACUUGCUAAUAGGGAUUUGGUAACUGAGUUCUCAAUACCAAAAAUAACUUUGGCUAUACUGGAACACAGACAUUUUCCCCAGUUUGCUCCUCUGUAUACUAUAGACUGCUGAGCAUAGAACAAUUGUUGUGUAUUUUUACUUUCAGACAGUUAUUAUUCUCAAUCAUCUGGGCUGGGGGUAAGCUGGAAAAGGUUUUAAUUAGAAUAGCUAAUGGGUCUCGCCUCCACAAAGGCCAUUGCUUUUGGAAUUGAUGCACUUCUGGAAGAGGAAAUUCAUCUGCAUGGAAAUGCAGCAGAUGGGACUCAAGUAGGAUUCUUCUGAGUCCAUUUUUCUGGACCCUGAGAACUUAGGCCUAUGGAGAUUAAAUGUGAGAUUGAAGGACCUCUGACUCCCCGUGUCUGGACACUGUGCUUGGCUGUAAGAGAUUUAGACAGAAACCCAUGCCUCAGGGCUCCUAAUCUCAUGGUGGAGAUUGACUUGUGGAUACAGAGGACACUAAGAAACAACACACAUGCCACACUCUUCCAACACCUUAGCUUUGGUCAUACCUUGAACUCACACUCUUCCUGCAGCUGCAACAACACACCCAUGAGUCCCAUAUACAGUUAAUACACUCAGUCAUUCAUUCCCCAAACAAUUUUUGAAUACCUGUGAUGUCACACCUAUAAGAUGGAGCACAUUGGAAGCAGAAAUUUGCCUAUCUUGUUUGCCUCCCUAGCAGCUGGGAAAUAUUUGUUAAGUGGAUGAAUAAAUGAAUCAGUGGAUGAACAAAUGCAAGGCACUGGUCCUAGCUAAGUCCUUGAGAUACAGAGCUAACAGUCAAAGAACUAUUGGGUAAAGAAAUGAGUUCAGAACCAUGCUAUGGAAGCUUAGAGAAGGUAGUAAUUCUAACAGAGGUUGGGAGGCGUACCUAGAAAGAGUGCCGCAGAAACGCUAGAGAGGUCAGAACCUCUCACCUGUUCUCACACAUACACUUGGAAAAUACCUCAAAGGACAUUGCAUCUGAACAUGGCAUGGACCUUAGUGGAUUUUCACAACCACCCGUGAUGAGACAUCUUCCCAUUUGUAAACAGGAAAGCUGGAUCUCAGAGACUUGGAAAUUCUCUAAUGUCACCUAUUUCAUUAGUGUCUUUUCACUCAAAAGGUGUUUCUGUUAAGAAAAGAAAUCAUGUUUUGUUUCACUAUAGGAGGUCUUCCAAAAGCCAUAGCUUUACCCCCUCAUUUGAAACUAUAAUCCAGGUACAAAAGGCAGGCCUGGCAGGGGCACGUGAAGAAUCAUUCUGCCUCUCUGCAACCUAGGAAGCCACAAGCGUUGGCUGUCAUAUAUCUUUCCUACCGCUGCUGGUGACUUCUCAGGUGCCUUGAUUGCACCAAGCAGCUCAUCUGAGUCUGCUUAUCUUGAGUGAGAGUAAAGCUCAGAGGACAUAUUCCCGGAGGGGGGCCACCUCCCUCCAGGAAGGGGCUCACUUCCCCCUGUGUUAGCAGCUUCCUGGUUGUGAAAGAACCAUAGGAUUGCCGGGGCCUUUGGAGUGGAAAAGACCAGGAGCUUCAGAAUCAGACAGGUCUCUUUCCAAGUCCCAGUUCCACCAUUUUCCAGCUGCAUGUGCACUUGGGCAGUUUCCUUAUGCUCUUUGACCCUUGGUUUGUUAAUAUGGAAAAUGUGGCUGUAGAAAGACUCUAAGGGAACACAUAGAAACCCAAGGAAUGUAAUGAUGGUGACUACUAUUCAUUAUUAUCUCAGAGACGGAGGGAGUCACUGGUCUCAAACACCCCAUUUUCGCGUGCAAAAAUGUAGGCCCACGAGAUCAUGUUCCUUUUCUUUUCUUUUUUUUUUUUGGCAUUUCUUGGGCUGCUCCCACGGCAUAUGGAGGUUCCCAGGCUAGGGGUCGAAUCGGAGCUGUAGCCACCAGCCUAUGCUAGAGGCACAGCAACGCAGGAUCCGAGCCGCAUCUGCAACCUACACCACAGCUCAGGGCAACGCUGUAUCAUUAACCCACUGAGCAAGGGCAGGGAUUGAACCCGCAACCUCAUGGUUCCUAGUUGGAUUCGUUAACCACUGCGCCACGACGGGAACUCCUCAUGUUCCUUUUCUAAGGUCACAGACUCAGAAAGAUGGGGGCUUGAGAAAAUAAAGUCUUUUUUUUUUUUUUCCUAUUUUUCAAUUUUUCAGCUAAUUCUAGUUUUUUUGUUUGUUUGUUUUUUGUUUGUUUGUUUGUUUUGACCCAACCAUGGAGGGAGAAAAGCCAUCACAAUCCAGAAAUAAUUCUCAAGAUGGGGGGCUAGGUCAUCCAUAGCCCUGCCGACCAGCACAGCCCUGUGUGUCUGUGGGAGUUGCUGCCACACUCUUCUCUUUAUCCCCAUGAAAACACUUGAAUAGACCAAGACAUUUUCAGAAACAUUGACUGGGGACUAUGCAAGGCCCUUUCACCAGGAGAUGACUUUCACACAAGUGGAUACUUAUUGACAUCUCACGUGGCUCCCAUGAUCUUCUUUCCUGUCCAUUUGGCCCCUUCUGGUCUCACUCUCUGCACCAUAUUGAUCUCCCUGCUCUAUUUUCCAUGUAUUCCUCGCCUUUCAUGCCUACCCCGUUGCUUGGAGGUGGGGCCUGGUGGUGAAGGCGGAGAUCCCUGUUCCUUAUUACAAUAUUUAUGCUAGAUUAUGUCUUGCUCCAAGUCCUUUUAGGCUUUUGAAAAAUGUCUAUCGUCCUUGAUGUCCUUUUGGAGACCUUGUCACAUCCCUUCCUAGACUGACUGAGCACAGAGGGGUCAGGCCCCACCAUUAUGAUCCACAGCAUCACAAAAGCAAGCGAUCAUCCUUGAUAAUAGCUGCCAUUUAGAGAGCGCUCCUCCUGGGACUGUGGUGUAGAUGUUCUUUCUACCCACGAUCUACUUUAGCCAUCACAGUAACCAUGUGAGAGGAGUAUUUCUAACCCCAGCUUACAAGACAGGAAGCUGUGCUAAAUCAUACAGCUAGUGGGUGGCAGAGGUGAGACCCAAACUGUGAAUACAAAAGUCUGGCUCUUUCUGCUGCACCAAAAUAGCAUUCGGCAGAAUAUGACUGAGAGAUUUAUGAAAUAGAGGUGACACUAGCCUAAUGCAAGUCCCUCUAGGUUGCUCUUUCUUUACUGGUUGAAUCGAAGUGGUCUAAGCAUGUACAGGAAGUCUGUGUGCUGAGGAGCCUGCUAUUGGGUCAAUUCACUGAAUGUAUAGACUUAAUCUGGCAACAUUGGGUAACAUAUGAGCAGCCUAGGCUGGUAUAGGUAUGGAUGCUGUGGUCCUUGUGAACUUGAAAGGAUGGGGUUUUUGAAACUGGGAAGAUUCUAAAAUAAAAUACCUGGAGCAUUCUUCAUGAGGGUAUUGAAAGAGAAGACAUCAAAGGUGCUUUCAGAUUCUGGUGUUGUGCAAUUCUAAAUCCUACAGAUAUUCACUGUGACACUAAAUUUUAAUUAAAAGGACACUGAGGUCUAAUGAGUACCUCUUGUGGAGAUGAUAGAGUAGAACUGGGUGUGGGGUGAAGUGGGAGGGAGGAGAGUGGCACAAGCAACUAACAUUGACUCUGGAAUAAAGCUAUUUCAGUUUUUUGUCAGAACCAAGAGGCAUGAGUGCAUAUACAAUGGAAAGAGACCAGAUGUGAACAAAUGGGCUAAAAUUCAGAUGGGAAGAAUGAGUAAGGCGAAGGGCAAAUUUUCUGGGAUGCAGGGUUUAAAACAACUUAUGGAGUCUAAAAUUUUUUAGCACAUGUGACAAGUGCCCUCCUUCUUUUCUAGGGCAGCUGACACACUGUCCGAGCGGGAGACAAGAAAUGGAAGCCCGACACUCCCGCUGAUUGUCAGGAGGGCUCUAGGUACUGAACCACAGUGUCUUAAGGGAGGGUGGAGUGGGCUAGAAUGACGACGAUGACCCCCUACUGCAUAAUUGCUGCACUUCCCAGACCCCACCAAGGUCCAGUUUUGGAGAUGCCCUGGACACUCUUCUUUGAGAUUUUGACUUUUACUGUAGCUCAGGGCUCUGUCUUCCAAGCAGAUUCCUACAGAACAUUCAGACUGUCCAACAAAAGUUUUUUUUUUAGGGCUGCAUCCAUGGCAUCUGGAAGUUCCCAGGCUAGAAGUCGAAUAGGAGCUACCGCUGCAGGCCACAGCCACAGCCACAGCAACACCAGAUCCAAGUGGCAUAUGCAACCUAAACCACAGCUCAUGGCAAUGCUGGAUCCUUCACCCACUGAGGCCAGAGAUCGACCCCACAUCCUCAUGUUUACUAGUCGGGUUCAUUACUGCUGAGCCACAACGGGAACUCCCCAGCAGAGGAUUUUAACAUGUGAUGAAAAAGAAGGAUGGUGGCAGCAAUGAACAGUGCAGCAGAGGAGAGAGAAAAUCACUCCUAUCAAGGGAGGCAAAAUAAAAUCCUAUGAGGUGAGAACCCAAUAGCCCUGGAAUAAUCAAAGAAAUUCUACCUUUCCUGCAAGGAGAGCCAGCUUCAACCCUGCCUCUUACAUGGCUUUUAUUUUUAGCUAACUUUACAUUUUUUCCUGCUCCCCUCCCGAUGGCAAGCCCAUUUGUAGAUUCUAAUAUAUCCCCUGCUAGCCUCAAGAAGAACCAUCUGAGCAUAGGGGAAUCCCAUUCGCAAGCUGGCUGACUUGGUGCAGUGACAGACAAGGAGAAGGUGUGGAAGGAGGAUCCCCAAAUCCCCAUGCCAUGAGCCCUGGAAUUGGUGUAGGUCACAGCUGCAGCUCCAGUUCAGGCCCAGGCCCUGGAACUUUCAUAUGCCAUGGGUAUGACUAUUAACAAAAAAGCUUGAUUUUAACCCACUAGGACCAUAGCAGACUUUGAACUACAGAAUUAUAAAGUACCAAGUUUCCCCAGCUCUGGUUCUAGCAUGGAAAACCUCCAGAUGCAGGAGCAUCAAAGUGCAAAUUUAUUUAUACAAUUUCAUAUCCCUGGGAAGUCCUACCAAUGCUGUGAGAACAGGACAUGGAAUGGCACAAAUUUUCAUAAAUGUAUUCCCAGUGCCCUGGAUUAAGAAAUUAGAAAAAAUCAAUCAAUCAAGAAAUCUCAAUUUCUGCUUCAUUGGCCAAGAAAGUUGGGAGGAUGCUGUUUAAUUUCUGGGGUUUUCUCUGCCAGGGAAUCUUUUCCUCACAGACUGUUAAAUCUGUAUGUUAUACCCGCAUGUGGCAGUGUAGAGUCUCUCUGCAGUU